rnacentral:rRNA from 1 species
CCUACGGGAGGCAGCAGUGGGGAAUAUUGCGCAAUGGGCGAAAGCCUGACGCAGCGACGCCGCGUGAGGGAUGAAGGUCUUCUGAUCGUAAACCUCUGUCCGCAGGGAAGAACGGUCACUGUGCUAAUCAGCAGUGAAUUGACGGUACCUGCAAAGGAAGCACCGGCUAACUCCGUGCCAGCAGCCGCGGUAAUACGGAGGGUGCGAGCGUUAAUCGGAAUUACUGGGCGUAAAGCGCUCGUAGGCGGUAUGUCAAGUCAAGGGUGAAAUCCCCGGGCUCAACGUGGGAACUGCCUUUGAAACUGGCAAACUGGAGUGUGCGAGAGGAUAGUGGAAUUCCAGGUGUAGGAGUGAAAGCCGUAGAUAUCUGGAGGAACAUCAGUGGCGAAGACGACUAUCUGGCACAUAACUGACGCUGAGGAGCGAAAGCGUGGGUAGCAAACAGGAUUAGAUACCCUUGUAGUC